rnacentral:rRNA from 1 species
AGGACGAACGCUGGCGGCGUGCCUAAUACAUGCAAGUCGAACGGUCUUUCUAUGGAAGCUUGCUUCCACUGAGGAGAUAGUGGCGAACGGGUGAGUAACACGUGGGUAACCUGCCCAUAAGAGGGGGAUAACAUCCGGAAACGGGUGCUAAUACCGCAUAGUUUUCUUGAUCGCAUGAUCGGGAAAGGAAAGACGGCCUUUGUGCUGUCGCUUAUGGAUGGACCCGCGGCGUAUUAGUUAGUUGGUGAGGUAACGGCUCACCAAGACGAUGAUACGUAGCCGACCUGAGAGGGUGAUCGGCCACAUUGGGACUGAGACACGGCCCAAACUCCUACGGGAGGCAGCAGUAGGGAAUCUUCCGCAAUGGACGAAAGUCUGACGGAGCAACGCCGCGUGAGUGAAGAAAGGGUUUUCGGAUCGUAAAACUCUGUUGUCAGAGAAGAACAAGUUGGAGAGUAACUGCUCCAGCCUUGACGGUAUCUGACCAGAAAGCCACGGCUAACUACGUGCCAGCCGCCGC